rnacentral:rRNA from 2 species
AUGACCUCGAAUCAGUA